rnacentral:rRNA from 1 species
UACAGAGGUCUCAAGCGUUUGGUUCGGAAUUCAUUGGGCGUAAAGGGGUGCGUAGGCGGCGACCGGGUAAGUCGGGGUGUUGAAAAUCUCGGUAGCUUAACUCCGAAACUGCAUUACGAUACUGCCGUGCUUGAGGACUGGAGAGGAGACUGGAAUUUACGGUGUAGCGGUGAAAUGCGUAGUAUAUCGUAAGGAAGACCAGUGGCGAAGGCGGGAUCUCUGGGACAAGUUCCUGACGCUGAGGCACGAAGGUCAGGGGAGCAAACGGG